rnacentral:rRNA from 1 species
UACGUAGGGUGCAAGCGUUGUCCGGAAUUAUUGGGCGUAAAGAGCUCGUAGGCGGUUUGUCGCGUCUGCUGUGAAAACUCGGGGCUUAACCCCGGGCCUGCAGUGGGUACGGGCAGACUAGAGUGCGGUAGGGGAGAACGGAAUUCCUGGUGUAGCGGUGAAAUGCGCAGAUAUCAGGAGGAACACCGAUGGCGAAGGCAGGUCUCUGGGCCAUAACUGACGCUGAGAAGCGAAAGCAUGGGGAGCGAACAGG